rnacentral:misc_RNA from 1 species
GACAAAAUCUUCUGAUUUACCACUCUCCAACAAACUCGCACUCUUUAGACUUCCUAAAGCAUCUUCUCCUUCUUCCCUGGCUUCAUACGUGCUAUUAGAUUGAUCUAGAAACCCUUCUGCGAUCCAGAGUUCAGUCAGUUCCAUUUUCUUAAUAUUAUCAACAGCUGGGAACAACGAAAAGCACAGAAAGCAUUUCCUGAGGGUAUCUGUGCUCAAGCUGUCAUAGCUUAUCUUGAGAACAGGUAAGACACUAGCCUCAACAUCUGGAAAUGAUGACGGCUGAGUCUUCAAUUUUUCAAUUGCACGCUCCCAAUCGCGGGGUUUGGUCUUACCAGCCAUGGCUUGACCGAUAGUGGUGAGCAGAAGAGGCAAACCCUUGCACACAUCAGCAAGUUCAUCAGCCAGCUUUGGGAUCUUCCAGUUAACAUUUAGAGUGUCCUCUCCCACACAGGACACGAACUUGUAGAGCAGUUUCUGGUGGCAAACGCUCUACUUCAAUUGUUUUUGCCUUCAUCCUGUCACAUACCUCUUUUGACCGAGUAGUAAAAAUGACUUUGGACCCAUUCCCGUUGCCGUUCAGAUGAACUCCGAUUUCGUCCAAGAGUUGAUGUAGCCAUUGCCCUCCUACACCAUCCAACAUCAAAGCAAAUUUCUCCUUUCCCAAAAUGUUCGAAAUCGCGUUAUUUAUUGGCUCACCUUUAUUUUUCCACUCCUCUUGAGAGAUACCAAAUUUUUUGCAAAUAGCUUCUUUGGCCGCUUUCACUGGGUCUUGUUCAGACCUCUCAACAAAAAUCAACACAUAGUCACUCUUUUCGCAAAACUUAUUGUAGAUCUUCUUGAGGAGGGUGGUCUUACCCACGCCUGCCAUUCCAUAUAACCCUAUAAUUUCCACACUUGGGUGUUCAAUCCAUGUCCAGAUUUCUUCAAGUUUGAAAUCGAACCCAAAAGUUUUCCUUACAGGCAUCUGGAUCACUAAAUCGACAGGCUUUCUCUCAACAACAGCAUCAAAUUUACCAGCCUCUAUGAGUUCAUUCACUUCUCCGCGCUUUUCACUUACUCUCUUUCCAACCCUCUUGUAGGAGCAGCACUUCUUAGGACAGAACCAUCUGAGAACUUUCUUACAAAUUUCUUCUUCAGCUUCUUUAAUUAUCUUCUUUGCAUCCUCCUGCACGUGAUUUACUUUCUCGAGCCAGAAGGUUACUUCCAAGCGCUGCUGCAUCUGUGGUUUGGUUUCUUUCUUAACCCUCUCUACUACAUGCUUCUUCAUUUUCUCCAGUUGAUCCAUUUCAAAUUGUGCGACGAUGAGAUGGGUUUCCAAAUCAUCAAAGUAAUCUGCGCGAGCGCAACAAAAAGAGGAGACGCCUUUGAUAGCGUCACAGACGGGGCCAAUAGCUGCUGCCGCCUCUAUGCCUGACAUGGCUAUAACACGAAGAAAGGAAGAGCUUUUUUUUUUUUUUUUCCAAGGAUGAAAGGAAGAGUUCAGCUAAAUAAUAAGGGAGAGGUUGAUUCUUCAAUCUUCAGAUCAAGAGUUAACAGAUUUCAGAAGGGCAGUGGGAUUUAAACUUUGACAAAAAGAGACAAUUCAGAGAAAAAGCAACAGAAUGAAAGUGCAGGGAGACCUGUGCCUUGGAAGACAAUAAUGUGAGAGUUACUGGAAAGCUGUCACUCGUGAAUUAUUUU